GUUAACUCCAAAAUAGCAUACAUUGAUUAUUCGUUUAUAUCAUUGUCGUCUCGCUUGCAGGAAAUACAAUACACAAUGUCCAAAUUACUUAUCACACUGUUUUUGGUUGCCCUUAUUGGGAGUGCUUUGACACGACCCGCACCUAGACCAAAUGAUGGCGGUGAAGUGCUUGUAAGUGACGGAGUUGGUCACGGAGGUAUGAAAUGU